rnacentral:rRNA from 1 species
UACGUAAGUUGCAAGCGUUAUCCGGAUUUAUUGGGCAUAAAGAGUACGUAGGCGGUAUUUUAAGUCAGAUGUUAAAUCCUGCGGCUCAACCGUAGUUCGCAUUUGAUACUGAAAUACUCGAGACUAGGAGAGGAAAGUGGAACUCACAGUGUAGCGGUGAAAUGCGUAGAUAUUGUGGGGAACACCAGUGGCGAAGGCGACUUUCUGGACUAGUUCUGACGCUGAGGUACGAAAGCAUGGGGAGCGAACGGG